AACCUUAUGGACCUGCGGGCGUAUACCUGCGGAGGGAUCAUUACCGAGUUUACAAACUCCCAACCCUUUGUGAACCUUACCAUAACGUUGCUUCGGCGGGACCGCCCCGGCGCCCUCGCGGCCCGGACCCAGGCGCCCGCCGGAGACCCCAAACUCUAUGUUUUACUGUACAUCUCCUCUGAGUGACAUAUAAACAAUAAAUAAAAACUUUCAACAACGGAUCUCAGAUCGGAAGAGCAC
rnacentral:misc_RNA from 1 species